GCGAGUGAAGCGGGAAGAGCUCAAAUUUUAAAUCUGGCAGUUUCACUGUCCGAAUUGUAAAUUAGAGAAGCGUUUUCUGUGCUAGACCUGUCAUAAGUGAUCUCGAAUGAUCUAUCAGAGAGGGUGAUAAUCCCGUUCAUGGUCAGACCACUAGUACUCUAUGAUGCGCUCUCGACGAGUCGAGUUGUUUGGGAAUGCAGCUCUAAAUGGGAGGUAAAUGCCUUCUAAAGCUAAAUACCUUGGGAUGACCGAUAGCGAACAAGUACCGUGAGGGAAAGAUGAAAAGAACUUUGGAAAGAGAGUUAAACAGUACGUGAAAUUGCUGGUGGGGAAACGCUUGAAGUCAGUCAUGUCUUCUUGGAUUCAGCCUUACUUCUGUUUGGUGUAUUUCCUUGUUGGCAGGCCAGCGUGCAUUUUGACCAUUGGAAAAAGGCAUUGGAAAUGUGGCAGCUUCGGCUGUGUUAUAGUCCUUUGUUGUAUACUUUGGUUGGGAUGUAAUAUACAGCACGCUUUGUGGUGCUUAUGUUGGCGUAAUGGCUUUAAGCGACCCGUCUUGAAACACGGACCAAGGAGUCUACCUUGCGUGCAAGUCUUUGAGUGGAAAACUCAAGGGCGUAAUGAAAGUGAUGGUUGAGAAUCUCUUGUAGAGGCAUCAACGCCCGCCGCUGAAGUUUACGGACGCUGGUGAGGUAGAGCAUGUAGGGUGGGACCCGAAAGAUGGUGAACUAUGCCUGCAUAGGGUGAAGCCAG
rnacentral:rRNA from 1 species